UUGUCUCAAAGAUUAAGCCAUGCAUGUCUCAGUACAAGCCAAAUUAAGGUGAAACCGCGAAAGGCUCAUUAAAUCAGUUAUGGUUCCUUAGAUCGUACCCACAUUUACUUGGAUAACUGUGGUAAUUCUAGAGCUAAUACAUGCAAACAGAGCUCCAACCGGAAACGGAAGGAGCGCUUUUAUUAGAUCAAAACCAAUCGGUGGCGGUUUCCGUCAUCGUACAACUUGGUGACUCUGAAUAACUUUACGCUGAUCGCACGGUCUCGCACCGGCGACGCAUCUUUCAAAUGUCUGCCUUAUCAACUGUCGAUGGUAGGUUCUGCGCCUACCAUGGUUGUAACGGGUAACGGGGAAUCAGGGUUCGAUUCCGGAGAGGGAGCCUGAGAAACGGCUACCACAUCCAAGGAAGGCAGCAGGCGCGCAAAUUACCCACUCCCGGCACGGGGAGGUAGUGACGAAAAAUAACGAUACGGGACUCAUCCGAGGCCCCGUAAUCGGAAUGAGUACACUCUAAACCCUUUAACGAGGAUCAAUUGGAGGG
rnacentral:rRNA from 1 species